rnacentral:rRNA from 1 species
CUAGGCGUAACACCGGUUGCCUCCCCACCCACAACCCGCCAGAGGAUUACAAGUGAAAAACUUAAAACUCCAAGGACUUGACGGUGUCCUAUCCGUACUAGAGGAGCCUGUCCCAUAAUCGAUACUCCACGCUAUACCUUACCCCCCCUUGCCAGCCAACCUAUAUACCGCCGUCGCCAGCUUACGAUGUGAACCCCAGCCCCCGUAAGCGAGAUCACCCACACAUAAACACGACAGGUCAAGGUGUAGUCCAUGGGGGGGCCGGCGAUGGGCUACAUUUUCUGAUCCAGAAAACACCACCCGCACCAUGAAACUCCUGCCCAAAGGCGGAUUUAAAAGUAAACUUGACAAGAUAUGCCAACUUGAACAAGCCCUAGGACGC